AUUGAACGCUGGCGGCAUGCCUUACACAUGCAAGGUCGAAACGGGCAGGCACGGGAGCAAUCCUGGUGGCGAGUGGCGAACGGGUGAGUAAUAUAUCGGAACGUGCCCAGUCGUGGGGGAUAACGUAGCGAAAGCUACGCUAAUACCGCAUACGAUCUAUGGAUGAAANCGGGGGAUCGCAAGACCUCGCGCGAUUGGAGCGGCCGAUAUCAGAUUAGGUAGUUGGUGAGGUAAAGGCUCACCAAGCCGACGAUCUGUAGCUGGUCUGAGAGGACGACCAGCCACACUGGGACUGAGACACGGCCCAGACUCCUACGGGAGGCAGCAGUGAGGAAUAUUGGUCAAUGGGCGCAAGCCUGAACCAGCCAUGCCGCGUGCAGGAAGACGGUCCUAUGGAUUGUAAACUGCUUUUAUACAGGAAGAAACCCUCCCACGUGUGGGAGCUUGACGGUACUGUAGGAAUAAGGAUCGGCUAACUCCGUG
rnacentral:rRNA from 1 species